AAUGAUGGGUAUUACACUUCAAUGUCCCUUUUAUUUUUUCAUUAAAUUUCAUGUAACACACGAGCAACACAACAGUGGUUGUUCAGCAACAGCAACCAGUAGCAACUCGUCCUAAGAAAAGAGAUUGGAGUACCGGCAUUUGUGGUUGUUUCGAGGAUAUGUCUUCAUGUUGCGCAGUGACGUUUUGUACUGAAUACCCGGUAUAUACCACUUGUCCAGUAAACUUGGGGAGUCGUGCUGUCUGCCCUGCGCUAUGCCAGGAUUCCAGUCCUUUGUCCCUCUAAGAACAAAACUAAGAUCAGAGAACAACAUAGCCGGCAGUAUCUGUGAGGAUUGCUGUAUGGUAUUAUGGUGUCAACU